UACACAUUGACAAAAGUACAUAUAUUUGCCCUUUAUUGGCUCCUUAUUUGAAAUUGGGUGAAAAAAACACCGGCCGUUGAGAUAUCCAAUUAUUUGGGAGAUCACCCAAAAUAAGUGACGCAAUAAGAAACCUAAUCUUCCAAAAACAUAAACAUUAGGGCAAACUGUACACCUAUUUACGGGCAGAAAACCAGCAGAAAGAAGGGAUCAGAGUAGGAAUUGAACAUCUAACAGUCUUGGCACUCUUACAACCUUUUCCUGAUAAGCUUUGCUGAUUGGAAUUCUUAGGACUGGUUUUUAACUACUCUAACAUUGCUAUAAAACCGUUUUAGGUCCUUGAUGGCUCUUUCCUCAAUCUGUAUUGAACGUAUAGAUGAAGGUGUCUCAAUUUCUGGUCUGAACCAGCGACUCGGACAACUAGAUUCUGAUGGUGAGCCUUGACCAGUCAUCACAGAGAAGCCAGUAGUUGUUGUCUUUGGACUAUGAGAGAGCGCCAAUGGCUGCUUCCCCUGCUGCAGUUGGAUAUCCCUGAGAGAAGGACGUAAACGAGGAGGCGUCCCGGAGGCUGCCCAAGGAGGGGUGUUCUUUUCCACAUCAGAGACAAAUGCUGUUUGUGACAUGGGUAUUGGGUUGGACUGUAUAAAAGAACUCAACCGUAAUUUACCACCACUACUUUCACCAGAGGGAUCUUCUACUGGGUCUCUGAGUUUCAACAGCUUUGUAUCGAUUACUUUCCUCUGCUCAUCCUGUAUAUCUCGAAGAGAUGCAGAGCCUUUCGCAACCUUAGCACCACCCCAAGCAGGGCCUUCACUUUUUUGCACAACUGGUGGCGGAACUACAACUUUAGAAACAUCAUCAAGAGCACCAUUUAGAAACAUGGAGAGUCCACCUUUCCUAUUUUUCUUUUUUGAGGCUACAACUGAUGAACUGUUACUAUUACAGGUAACUCCAAGGUGUCUCUGCGUGACAGAGGAAGAAUCUUUUGCAUCUUGAUUGGAAGCAGCUCCUCCCAAACCUUUGUGGUCAUCCUCGUACUGGACUUCAGGAAUUUGAACACUCGAGGCACCCUUUCUGGGGCUGGAUUCAGCACUUUCACAUUGACUGGAUGCUACCUCAAUUGGUGCUGCCUUUUGUUUGCUCUUUCUGCUUUGCUUCUUAGGUACAACAUCCACUUUAUUGCUCCCUUUUCCAUCAGCAAGAACAGAGGAUGAUACUGUCGAUUGGACCCUUUCUACAGGGGCACCAAGCUCAGCAAGUGACAUCUCCAGUGCUGACUUCGUCUGAAGCUUAGCAAUUUGCUGGUUAUCAAGAGUCUGCCCCUUGAAUCGCUUAUCUUCAAGCAUCUCAAUCUGCUGCAACUUCUUCCUCAAAGCUCGUACUUGUUUCAGAACCCCUUCUUUAAUUUCAUCAGACUGUAGGAAGUUAUCUAAUCUCUGGUCUCUCACUUGUCUCAAAAUUGGCCUGCUUGUACAGUUGCCACGUGUUCUAAGUGCCUCAAUUUUUUCAUUAUCUUCUUCACUGUCUAUAAUGGCAGGGAAGGGGGCAGUAGGAGUUGGAAGCCGGCGAUAACUCCAGGGUUCAGAUGACUUCAUAUCCCACACUUUCUCAAGCAUGACUAAUACGUCAAGUGAAGUAUUUGCAAUUGCAUGCCCCGACACUGUAAAUAUAUAAUCAAGAUUGCGGAUUGCAAUAUCCUCACAGUGUUUCCUUAGAUCUUCUGCCCCUAGUGAAUCGGAAAUUUCUAGCAGUUGAAUAGAAUUCCGUGGCUCCAACAAAUGCUCGGCAGCCACCUUCUCACAAAGGCUCUUUAAGGUUGGUGCAGUCUUGUUUUUGGCAGUGUCUUUUUCUGAGAUAUAAGAAACUUCCUCUGACUCAACCUCAUCAAACAUAAAUCCCUCAUUGAGUUCAUCUGUAUCACUUUUCAUCUUCUGCUUGAGUAUAGAAGGAUUAUUGGACAUAUUAGGUGGAUAACCAGGAUGAUAUAGAGAAGUGAUAAUCAACAAAUGGGUCUCCCCAACGGAAAUUGAAGUUGCCUUUUUAACCCCAUGUAACCGAGUUAAAGUAGGAGGUUUCUCCUUUCUUUUCCUCCCAUCCCACAUGUACACAUCACCUGUCACAGUAACCGCAGCUAUCCAAUAUUUCCCAGCAGAGAUGCAUGCUACAUUUGUACCACAUAGUGAAUAUAACUGUUGACAACGCAGAUCAGGAUCAGAUGACACCCAGUAAAAUAAUGUGCCGUCCUCUGUAAGAGCCACACUAUGUGUAUUCCCGGCAGCUAUUGCAACCACAUGAAGACGUUCCUUACGAUGAAACUUCAUUGGGAUGUUGCCCAUCUUUUUUAGGAACCGCCCAGUCACAACUCUUUUUGGAGUAACAAGCCGAUGACCCCAAGUUAAAACCUCUCCAUCAGAUCCAAGAACAAUUGUAUGAUACUUAGCUGCAGCAACUCCAACAAAGGCCUUUCCCUUCAGAUACUCAACUACCCUUGGAGCAUAGUUAGAGGCAGAGUUAGAUGUUCCAUAGCCUAGCUGACCCUCCUUAUUGCAUCCCCAAGUGAAAACCUCACCCAAGUCAGAAACUACAACAGUGUGCUUGUUUGCUGCAGCAAGAGCAACUACUUUUGACCUCAGUGAACUCACUCUACGAGGUGUAGGUUGAGAGUCUACAGAAGUAUAACCAAGUUGACCCUCUCUGUUGGAACCCCAAGUGAAAACUUCUCCAGCCUCUGUUGCAAUAACAGUGUGAUGUUUAGCUGCAACAACAGCUUUCACUCGACGUGCCCCUAAACCGCAGAUCACCCUCCGUGGAGUUAUUACAGCAGCUUGGCCGCUAUGUAUAUCAAAG
rnacentral:misc_RNA from 1 species